AGUGAACGCUGGCGGCGUGCCUAAUACAUGCAAGUCGAACGGAGUGGCGCACGGGUGAGUAAUAUAUAGCUAAUCUGCCCCUUGCUGGAGGACAACAGUUAGAAAUGACUUCUAACACCCCAUAGCAAGGGAUGAGACUAUAACGUAUCAGCUAGUCGGUGGGGUAACGGCCUACCGAGGCUAUGACGCGUAACUGGUCUGAGAGGAUGAUCAGUAACAUUGGAACUGAGGCACGGUCCAAACUCCUACGGGAAGCAGCGGUAGGGAAUAUUGCGCAAUGGGGGAAACCCUAACGCAGAAACGCAGCGUGAAGAAUGACAAUUUUCGGAGCGUAAAAGCCUUUUGUUAGGGGGGCGGUACCAAACGAAUAAGCACCGGCUAACGCCGUGCCAGCAGCCGCGGUAAUAC
rnacentral:rRNA from 1 species